rnacentral:rRNA from 1 species
GACGAACGCUGGCGGCGUGCUUAACACAUGCAAGUCGAACGGAAAGGCCCUGCUUUUGUGGGGUGCUCGAGUGGCGAACGGGUGAGUAACACGUGAGUAACCUGCCCUUGACUUUGGGAUAACUUCAGGAAACUGGGGCUAAUACCGGAUAGGAGCUCCUGCUGCAUGGUGGGGAUUGGAAAGUUUCGGCGGUUGGGGAUGGACUCGCGGCUUAUCAGCUUGUUGGUGGGGUAGUGGCUUACCAAGGCUUUGACGGGUAGCCGGCCUGAGAGGGUGACCGGCCACAUUGGGACUGAGAUACGGCCCAGACUCCUACGGGAGGCAGUAGUGGGGAAUAUUGCACAAUGGGCGGAAGCCUGAUGCAGCAACGCCGCGUGCGGGAUGACGGCCUUCGGGUUGUAAACCGCUUUCGCCUGUGACGAAGCGUGAGUGACGGUAAUGGGUAAAGAAGCACCGGCUAACUACGUG